ACUACACGAAGCUGGAAUCGCUAGUAAUCGCGAAUCAGAAUGUCGCGGUGAAUACGUUCCCCGGGUCUUGUACACACCGCCCGUCACACCAUGGGAGUCGGGAAUGCCCGAAGUCAGUGACCCAACCUUUGGAGGGAGCUGCCGAAGGCAGGUCUGAUAACUGGGGUGAAGUCGUAACAAGGUAGC
rnacentral:rRNA from 1 species